rnacentral:misc_RNA from 1 species
AGACCGUUAGCAAACAGGGGAUUCGAAAUGAUCCGAUAAGCCGGGACUUUAACGAUACAAACAUCGUCGUAUUCUCCUUAACUAGUUUUUCGCGGCUCUGGAAUUCGCGCGGUCACUAAAGACUCUUUUAGAUACGUUCGCAUACCAGUGGACGAGACUCGGAGAACCAUCUCCGAUUUGCUGACGACGCGUGGAGAGAUCUUUUACGCCGUUGUCACGAGCUCUGAGAUA